AAGACCUUGCGCUUUUGGAGCGGCCGAUGUCUGAUUAGCUUGUUGGUAAGGUAAAAGCUUACCAAGGCUUCGAUCAGUAGCUGGUCUGAGAGGACGGCCAGCCACACUGGGACUGAGACACGGCCCAGACUCCUACGGGAGGCAGCAGUGGGGAAUUUUGGACAAUGGGGGCAACCCUGAUCCAGCCAUGCCGCGUGAGUGAAGAAGGCCUUCGGGUUGUAAAGCUCUUUCAGCCGGAACGAAACGGUUACGGUUAAUACCCGUGACUACUGACGGUACCGGAAGAAGAAGCACCGGCUAACUACGUGCCAGCAGCCGCGGUAAUACGUAGGGUGCAAGCGUUAAUCGGAAUUACUGGGCGUAAAGCGUGCGCAGGUGGUUUUGUAAGUCAGAUGUGAAAGCCCCGGGCUCAACCUGGGAACU
rnacentral:rRNA from 1 species